AAAUUGAAGAGUUUGAUCAUGGCUCAGAUUGAACGCUGGCGGCAGGCCUAACACAUGCAAGUCGAACGGUAACAGGAAUCAGCUUGCUGAUUCGCUGACGAGUGGCGGACGGGUGAGUAAUGUCUGGGAAACUGCCUGAUGGAGGGGGAUAACUACUGGAAACGGUAGCUAAUACCGCAUAACGUCGCAAGACCAAAGAGGGGGACCUUCGGGCCUCUUGCCAUCGGAUGUGCCCAGAUGGGAUUAGCUUGUUGGUGGGGUAACGGCUCACCAAGGCGACGAUCCCUAGCUGGUCUGAGAGGAUGACCAGCCACACUGGAACUGAGACACGGUCCAGACUCCUACGGGAGGCAGCAGUGGGGAAUAUUGCACAAUGGGCGCAAGCCUGAUGCAGCCAUGCCGCGUGUAUGAAGAAGGCCUUCGGGUUGUAAAGUACUUUCAGCGGGGAGGAAGGGAGUAAAG
rnacentral:rRNA from 1 species